GCACGAGGUGUCCUCUCACCAGCAGCAGCUGCCAUCUCCUGAUUCAGGACACAGAGCCAGAAGAUAUUUGCACAAUAGAGAUGGAGAUGGACAUCCUUAGCACUGUUGCAGAUGAUGUUGCCACUCUUCAGACCAACCUAAAUGUAAG
rnacentral:lncRNA from 1 species